rnacentral:rRNA from 1 species
CGCGUAGGCGGGUUUCUAAGUCAGAGGUGAAAGCCUGGAGCUCAACUCCAGAACUGCCUUUGAUACUGGAAGUCUUGAGUAUGGCAGAGGUGAGUGGAACUGCGAGUGUAGAGGUGAAAUUCGUAGAUAUUCGCAAGAACACCAGUGGCGAAGGCGGCUCACUGGGCCAUUACUGACGCUGAGGCACGAAAGGCGUGGGGAGCAAACA